rnacentral:rRNA from 1 species
AGUGAACGCUGGCGGUAGGCCUAACACAUGCAAGUCGAACGGCAGCACAGUAAGAGCUUGCUCUUACGGGUGGCGAGUGGCGGACGGGUGAGGAAUACAUCGGAAUCUACUUUUUCGUGGAGGAUAACGUAGGGAAACUUACGCUAAUACCGCAUACGACCUACGGGUGAAAGCAGGGGAUCUUCGGACCUUGCGCGAUUGAAUGAGCCGAUGUCGGAUUAGCUAGUUGGCGGGGUAAAGGCCCACCAAGGCGACGAUCCGUAGCUGGUCUGAGAGGAUGAGCAGCCACACUGGAACUGAGACACGGUCCAGACUCCUACGGGAGGCAGCAGUGGGGAAUAUUGGACAAUGGGCGCAAGCCUGAUCCAGCCAUACCGCGUGGGUGAAGAAGGCCUUCGGGUUGUAAAGCCCUUUUGUUGGGAAAGAAAAGCAGCAGGUUAAUACCCCGCUGUUCUGACGGUACCCAAAGAAUAAGCACCGGCUAACUUCGUG